rnacentral:lncRNA from 1 species
GCUCCUCGGGGCGAAGCCGACACCUCAGCCAUUUGGAACUUGAAGUUCUCAGUCCAAGACCUCCGUGAAGAGUGAAAGACUCAAUGCCUCCUGACCGAGGCUUCAGGCCUGCCCCGGCAGCUAGGUACCUCUCCAGGGGAUGGAACUCUGUGGGAACUGCUAUUUAAUUCUGAUGGUUAACUCUGUCAGAUGGCCUUGAUAUAUGGGAAUAAUCGUUGCAGGAGGGUAGGGGAAAUAAGAAUCGCAAGACUCUAGCACAGGACGUGUGGAUUGAUGGAAACCUGAAACUGCCAUUGAGCAGAAGGAAAACAUCCCUUUCCAGAACCUUUCUCGUUUUUCUAAAAAUCUGCACUUUUGGAAGUGAUCCCCCAAAGAGACCUCCAGACUCUACCAUGAGUGUCUCCAGCUGAACUCAUCGUGUCUAAUCCUCACCCUAGCUUAUCCUGUUCAAAUCAUUUCCAUCUUUUUCUGGAUGAACCUGGGCGGAUGUCAGACCAGAGAAGAGCACAGAAUGUACCAGAGAGGUAAGAAGACCCAUUUUGGGCUCUCACUUCUCACCCACUCCCAAGAUGGCCACCUCCAGUCUUCCCCCCUAUACCUUACCCUUUCUUCAGCUAGCCAAAACCUGCCCUGGUACUUGAGGCUUCUUCAAUUGCCUUCUUUUGCAGGCAGUAGAAUAAAGGAAAGAGGGCAGUGUCAAUAGAAGAAAAGUUACAGCCACUUUAUCUAAUUGAAGAUACUGUGCAGAGCCUUUGAAAAAACAAAAUAUCUCACCCACCAUUCCUCUCCCCGUUUCCACCCUAGCUUCCUAUUUUAGCAAAAAUGGUGGGAUCAGCACCUCUGGAGGGAAGGGGUCACUCUUCCAGGUUAGGAAUGUGGACAGGAGUUAUGGAGCUUACUUCCCUAAAGGAGGAGGCAUUCUAGUUCCGGCAUUCAGAUUCUGUCUGAUUCCAAUAUGGUGUUUGUGUGGGGUGGUCAGAGAAAGGGCAAGUCGGGAACUGUAUAUUCCUCAGCAAGAGACUAUAAGACAUUUGCAUUUGGAAAAUCAGGAGAGAUGCUGAUAUAGUUUGGCUCCGUGUCCCCACCCAAAUCUCACCUUGAAUUGUAAUAAUCCCCAUGUGUCAAGGGUGAGACCAGGUGG